GAGGAUAUAGCUCAAUCGGUAGAGCAUACUGCUCAUAACAGUACCGUUAAGUGUUCAAGUCACUUUAUCCUUA